GGUAUUUUGACUAUACAAAGGUAUUGAAAUAAGAUUUUAAUUGAAUGCUAAGAGAAUGGAAACCCAGAAAAAAACUUUUUUUAAAUUAAAAAUUGAAAUUUUUUUAAUUUGUGCAGAAACAAUUAUUAAUAUUAAGGACAAGAAGACCCUAUGAAUUUAUAAAAUUCUAUUCAAUAUAUUAUUGCUGUUGUAGAAUUUUUGGCUGGGGCGGCUAAAAAAUAUUUUAAACUUUUUAAAAGUAAAAUGAUCCAUUAUUAAUGAUUACAUGUGAAAUA
rnacentral:rRNA from 1 species